rnacentral:lncRNA from 1 species
GGCUGCACCUAUGGCAUAUGGAAGUUCCCAGGCUAUGGGUCAAAUUGGAGCUGCAGCUGCUGACCUACACCACAGCCAAGCAACUCCAGAUCCAAGCUGUGUCUGAAAGCUAAACUGCAGCUCAUGGCAAUGCUGGAUCCUUAACCCACUGAGUAAGGCCAGGGACUGAACAAGCAUCCUCAUGGCUGCUAGUUAGGCUUGUUUCUGCUGAGCCACAAUGAGAACUUCUAGAGUUAAUAAUUUUUGAAUAAAUUUCAAUUUUAAUUUUUUAAGAAAUCCUUAAAAAUGAAAUGUACCUACCGUACAAAAAAAGAAUGUAUACAAGAAAGGUAAUAUUAUUUUAUGCUAUUUAUGAAUGACUAUUAGCCUUUGCAGAUAUGACUUAAUAUUCUAGAAUAUCUUCCUAACAUGAAAGAAUAUAUCACUCAGACUGAAUACAUCAUCAACACCCUCUCCACUUGCUCUCAAAGUGAACUAGGAUUUCACAGUAAUAUGCUUUCAUAAUAUUUUUCCUGCCUAAGCCUAUGUGAAUGUAUUACUUGAGGCAAAAAGAGAAGUAGCAUUAAGCUAUAUUCAAUUAGAGUCCAGUUUGAAAAAAAUAUCUGAACAAACACUACAGCACAAUUUGCAUAGUGCCUUUGGAAAAGCAGCAUGAUGUCCAAGUAUGAUUGAGAUUGGUCCCUAAAUCCAAACUACAUCGACCCCAGGAGUUAUGGCUACUUCCAUCAGAAAGGUGAAAGUUGCCUCCUCAGUCAGAUUACUUUCAGCAAUAUGCCAGCACUUGUUGGCCAUAUGUUUCAACUUGUAAGAUGUCCUGUUAGAGUUAUGGAUGCAGUUUUGCAGUCAAGAAAAUGACAGAUUUCUCUCCCUUGAAGACAUUAACUUUAUUCCACUUUGUUCUAACACUGUGUGCAGACAAUGAGAAUGAUAUAGUGGUCCCCUGUUUUCUCAAUGAAUAUAAUUCAAGAUGAGCCUAUUGCUACCUUCUCACACGGCUUCUGUCUGACCUUUUGAAUUCCAACCUACUCUCAGCUUUGUCUUCUACCAGUGUUGUCUCACUUAUGCUAUUCUCUGAUUCAUUUCUUACUGAUUUUAGUAAUAGUAAAUUAUUUAGUCAAUAAUAGAACAUUAUUUAUCAUUACUACAUGCCAAAUAAAAAUAUUAAUCAGUUCAUCUAGUCAUUUGAGAGUCACUGCACAAGCAAAUAUUAAGUAUAAACUUAGGAGUUCCCAUCAUGGCUAGUGGUUAAUGAACCUGACUGGUAUCCAUGAGGACAUGGGUUCUAUCCCUGGCCUUACUCAGUAAGUUAAGGAUCCAGCACUGCUGCAAGCUGUGAUGUGGUUGCAGAUGCAGCUCGGAUCCCGUGUUGCUGUGUCUGUGGCACAGGCCUGCAGCUACAGCUCUGAUUUGACCCCUAGCCUGGGAACCUCCAUGUGUCAUGGCUGCAGCCCUAAAAAGACAAAAGACCAAAAAAAAAGAAAAAAUAUUUUAAUACUAUAACUUGCGUGUAUAUACUAAUCCAUAAGACAACUCUUUCUUUCCACCCUAAGUGCCGUCAUUUUGUGUUCAGUCUAAAUGUACCUGAUCUUUUACCUUACAUUUUAGGGCUUCCUAACAAUUCAUUUCAGACACACACUUAAGGACUUCUUGACCCCAAGAUCACAACAGCUCCUCAGUCUUUCAGUUCUACUUAGACAUGUUUUAUGGUACUGUGCUGCAAAUUUUAUUUCUUUAGUGCAUAUCAAUCAACACAUAAAUUUUUGUUGAUUUUUACUAGACCCUAAUACAAGGUUUUAUCUCCUUUUCUUUUCCUCUCCAUCCUUAAUGAGAUAUAAUUGACAAAUAAUAUUGUAUAUUUAAAGUGUACAACUUGAUGCUUUGAUAUAUAUAUAUAUAUAUUCUAUUUCCUUUAUUUAUUUAUAUCUGUAGGGUUUUUUUACAUUUAAAAUUAAAAACAGCUGGAGAGCACAAAUAUGCAUUGAUUUUUCUCCUCAGAGUCCUUUGUUUUAGCAAAUAUUUAAUGAAUGGAGUACAAGUAUGGUGAAAAAACAGUCUUUGGAAGGAAUAUUGAGUCACUGUAGAAUUUCAUUUAUUCAGCAGGUACUGAGCUUGUGCUAAUCUGUCAGGUAUAUCAGAGGCAUGGUACAUGUGGCAGAGAAGAUGCCCUGACCUUAGGGUGCUUAUAGUCACUCUUACAUUCUAGUUGUAGAAGACAGGCAGUGAACAAUAAACACAGAAUCAUGAUGCAAAGAACAAUGCAGAUAGUAAUACAUGUUUGAAGCCCAUAAAACAAGGUAUUAUGAUAGAAUGGGAAUGCCACUGAGGGGCUGUUAAUUUGAGGAUGAAAGGAAGCCUCCUUGAGAAGAUGACAUCUUAGCUGAAAAUUAAAGAAGGUACCAUCUAUGCAGAGCUUUUGCAGAUUAGCAUCCA